rnacentral:rRNA from 1 species
UACGUAGGGGGCAAGCGUUGUCCGGAUUUACUGGGCGUAAAGCGCCUGUAGGCGGCCUGUCAAGUCCGGCCUGAAAGCCCCCCGCUCAACGGGGGAGGGUGGCUGGAAACUGGCAGGCUUGAGGGCGAGAGAGGAGGGUGGAAUUCCUGGUGUAGCGGUGAAAUGCGCAGAUAUCAGGAAGAACACCCGUGGCGAAAGCGGCUCUCUGGAACGGUACUGACGCUGAGACGCGAAAGCGUAGGGAGCGAACAGG